GCCCUUGUAGCUUAACGGUGAAGCAGCGCUUUUGUAAAGCGAAGAUUGUAGGUUCAAAUCCUAUCGGGGGCUCCA
rnacentral:tRNA from 1 species